rnacentral:rRNA from 1 species
UGGGGAAUAUUGGACAAUGGGGGGAACCCUGAUCCAGCCAUGCCGCGUGUGUGAAGAAGGCCUUAUGGUUGUAAAGCACUUUAAGCGAGGAGGAGGGUACUGGUAUCAAUACUACCAGCUACUGGACGUUACUCGCAGAAUAAGCACCGGCUAACUCUGUGCCAGCAGCCGCGGUAAUACAGAGGGUGCGAGCGUUAAUCGGAUUUACUGGGCGUAAAGCGUGCGUAGGCGGCUAAUUGAGUCGGAUGUGAAAUCCCCGAGCUUAACUUGGGAAUUGCAUUCGAUACUGGUUAGCUAGAGUGUGGGAGAGGAUGGUAGAAUUCCAGGUGUAGAGGUGAAAUGCGUAGAGAUCUGGAAGAAUACCGAUGGCGAAGGCAGCCAUCUGGCCUAACACUGACGCUGAGGUACGAAAGCAUGGGGAGCAAACAGG